ensembl:lncRNA
AUUUUAUAUUCAGCAAAUGGAAUUAAAUCUGGGACUUCUAUGCACUCAGGUAGAUGGAUGUUCAAUGUUGAACCAAAUGUUAGCUAAUCUUUUCUAGAUCAAAGUUAUUUCAUGGUUAACUUCUUUAGUGAGUGACAGGAAUAUUUGCCAGUUAUUUAGGCCAUACUUUACAGUCAAGACUGUUGAUAUUCUGUUGCAGAAAUACAAGUCUCACCAUUUUUCCUACCCAAAUGAAGAGUUAUCCCCCUUCCCUCUACGUCUGAAUUUCUCUUGGAAAAGAGUUUGCAUCUGUGAAAACAUUUAGACCACUUCUUAACCGAGACCCUAGAGCUCUGUAAUAUAAAUCUUAGAAGAGAUUAGUCAUUUAUUGAAAAACAUCAGGGGCAGAUGUAGCCAAAUGAGUAUUAAAAUAACUUCAGAGGCGCUGUGCAUCAGCAGAAGCAUGGAGCGUGGCAGAGCCAGGAAGUGAGGUUGUGAAGAUGCUAUAUUCACAGACAUUAUUUGGGGAAUUAAAGUAGAGAAGAUGGGAGCCAGUUCUUCUCCACGCUCCUUAAAUGCAUUGGCUACACAGAACAUGUGGCCUUGGAUGGACCCAUAGGACAGCACCAUGAAGAUGACCCUCUUCUGGACACAUUUGCUCCAGAAAAUUUAGAAAAAAAAUAAAAUAACUUCAGUCUGAACCUUGCAGAACAAUUGAUUUUGAAUAGACUAGAUUCUGAUGGAAUUGCUUUGCUUCAAAAUAUAACUGGGUGAAAUGAUUGUGUAAGAUAGGUAAAGAUGCACACUCAACUUGGAGGUGAAUUUAAUAAUAAAUGAAUGAUUUACCAGUAUGUGGGCAGAGCUUCCAGAAACCACAGAAGAGAAGGCAGUAUGCAGAAGGAAGCCCAUUGAUACAGUCUGCACAGGUCAGCCUCCUAGCCCCAGCACAAAUUGAGGACGGGAACCACAGAGGUAAACUGUUCAGCACGGGGAAGCAUUUGAGAGUUGGUAAAUAGUUGUCACAUCAGAUUAGGGUUUUUAAAUGGUAGAAGCCAAAAUAUGCUUGCUGGUGAUGAUACAAUAAAUUCAUUUGCUUCCUAUAGGUACAUUUCACCAUGUAUAGGGUGUUUGCUUUCCUAUUUGCUAUAGCAGGUGGCAUGCAUCCAUCCAGUUAUGUAGCAGGAUCCAGUUAUAUGUGUGUGAAUGUAACAGAAGAGGGACUGUAACAACAGCGAUUCACUUUCAAAUAAAAUUCUUCCCAUACUAUGUAUUAUCAUUAAUACAUUAUAUUGUAGUUUUCUCUGAAUGUGUACUAUAACCAAGAGAGAAGACAAAGAGUAUUUUGCUUCUACAGGUAGAAUAGCAGCAGAAUACACUGGUGGUUAGAAAUGUCAAUCAAACUAACUUUUCCAUAAAGAUUCCCAAGACUCUUUUAAAAAAAAUAUUUAUUUAUUUAUUUGUCUAUAUUGGGUCUUUGUCACUGCGUGGACUUUUCUCUGGUUGUGGUGAGGAGGUGCUACAUUCAAUUUGCAAUGCCCAAGCCUCUCACUGUAGUGGCUUCUCUUGUUGGGGAGUGGAGGGUCUAGGGCACACAGGCUUCAGCAGUGGCAACACAUAGGCUCAGUAAUUAUGGUUCCCCAGGGCUUCCCUAGUAGCUCAGAUGGUAAAGCAUCUGACUGCAAUGCAGGAGACCUGGGUUCGAUCCCUGGGUUGGGAAGAUCCCCUGGAGAAGGAAAUGGCAACCCACUCCAGUAUCCUUGCCUGGAAAAUCCCACGGACAGAAGAGCCUGGCAGGCUGUACAGUCCAUGGGGUCACAAAGAGUCGGACACGACUGAGCAACUAACACACACAGCUCUAGAGCACAGGCUCAGUAGUUGUGGCCCAUGGGCUAGCUGCUCCAUGGCAUGUGGAAUCUUCCCAAAUCAGGGAUGGAACCGAUAUCUCCUGCAUCGGCCAGCAGAUUCUUUACCACUGAGCCGGCAGGGAAGCCUCCAAGACCCUUUUUAGUUUACAUAAGUAACUGGAUGCUGUAUUCGUUUCCUAUUUCUGCUGUAACAAAAUAUCAUAAGCUUUAGACAACACGGAUUUAUUCUAUUACAUAUUUGGAAGUCAGGCAACAAAGUGAAUUUUAAGGGGUUAAAAUGAAGAUGUCAGCAGGGCUGUUUUCCCCCCCUGAGUUUUCCAGGGGAAAUCCGUUCCUUUGUCUCCUGCAACUUCUAGACAGUGCAGCGUUCCUCAGGCCUGGCCACAGCACCCCAGCCUCUGCUCCUGUUGUCUGACAUGGCCUUCUACUUGCGCCAGUCUUCUGCCUCCUUCUUAUUAGUACCUCUGUGGCUACAUCAGGCCCUCCCAGAUAAUUCCAACUCAUCUCUCCUUUUCAAGAUCCUUAUCUGCAAAGUCCCUUUUGCUGUAAAAGGUAACAUUCACAGGUUCUGGUGAUUAGCAUGUGAAUAUCUUUGGGGCCCAGCAGUCAGCUUAUUACAGGUGUCUUAAGUGUGUGUCACUGAAGUUUUCUAAGUGGACAGGACCUGCUGACAUCAUCAGUGUAUACUUGGAAGUUUUAUGGGAAAACCUAGUCAUUAUCAAGAUAAGCUGUACUCAGACCAUGGGUAACAGCCAAAAAUCUACUUUUAUUAAUGAGUUUAUAGACACACUUGGCUAAACCUGAAGUCUCCCAGUUAUUGUUUGAAAGAAUAAAGUGCUUACAAAAGAAUUUAAACC